rfam:Vitis vinifera, whole genome shotgun sequence of line PN40024, chromosome 6, chr6
UUGUUUGCGCAUGUAGCAUCAUCAAGAUUCACAUGCAAAUGCACGGUGGUGAUGUUAUCUCUGCCAAACUUUUCAAGGAUGAGAAUCUUGAUGAUGCUGCAUCGGCAAUAAA